rnacentral:rRNA from 1 species
GACGAACGCUGGCGGCGUGCCUAACACAUGCAAGUCGAACGAGGUCCAUGCAGUGGCAACACUGCGGAAGACCUAGUGGCGAACGGGUGAGUAACACGUGAGGAACCUGCCCCGAAGACCGGGAUAACUCUCCGAAAGGAGCGCUAAUACCGGAUGCCCCCACCGAACCGCAUGGUUUGGUGAGGAAAUGGAUUCCGCUUCGGGAGGGCCUCGCGGCCUAUCAGCUAGUUGGUGGGGUAACGGCCCACCAAGGCAUCGACGGGUAGCUGGUCUGAGAGGACGAUCAGCCACACUGGGACUGAGACACGGCCCAGACUCCUACGGGAGGCAGCAGUGGGGAAUCUUGCGCAAUGGGCGAAAGCCUGACGCAGCAACGCCGCGUGAGUGAUGAAGGCCCUCGGGUCGUAAAGCUCUGUCCUGGGAGAAGAAUUUUGACGGUAUCCCAGAAGAAAGCACCGGCUAACUCCGUGCCAGCAGCCGCGGUAAU